GAUGAACGCUGGCGGCGUGCCUAAUACAUGCAAGUCGAGCGAACAGACGAGGAGCUUGCUCCUCUGACGUUAGCGGCGGACGGGUGAGUAACACGUGGAUAACCUACCUAUAAGACUGGGAUAACUUCGGGAAACCGGAGCUAAUACCGGAUAAUAUAUUGAACCGCAUGGUUCAAUAGUGAAAGACGCUUUUGCUGUCACUUAUAGAUGGAUCCGCGCCUCAUUAACUGGUUGGUAAGGUAACGGCUCACCAAGGCAACGAUGCGUAGCCGACCUGAGAGGGUGAUCGGCCACACUGGAACUGAGACACGGCCAAGACUCCUACGGGAGGCAGCAGUAGGGAAUCUUCCGCAAUGGGCGAAAGCCUGACAGAGCAACACCGCGUGAGUGACGAAGGUCUUCGGAUCGUAAACCCCUUUUAUUAGGAAAGAAAAAAUGCGUAAGUAAAUACGCACGUCUUGACGGUACCUAAUCAAAAAGCCACGGCUAACUUCGUG
rnacentral:rRNA from 1 species